GGGAGCAUAGCUCAGUUGGGAGAGCAUCUGCCUUACAAGCAGAGGGUCACAGGUUCAAGUCCUGUUGUUCCCACCA
rnacentral:tRNA from 1 species